CUGGAAACAAUUUAAUAAGCAGAAAUGAUUAACUCCAAAAUCAUCAACAUGACUCCACCAACCCCAUUUUUAAAUUUCUAUUUAAACAUUUCCCAAAUUAUUUGCACAUUCUUCUUUUGGCUGUAAGUCUUGUUUUUCUCUAUGCUAGCUAAUAGUUUUCUAGAUAAUUUCUAUUCCCUUGACUUUUUCUUAUGUUAAAUCCUCAAAAUUAAGAGCUUUCAACUCAAAAAUCAGAAAUAGGAAAGAAGUGUUUAAUGAAAUGAUUUCACUUUUUUCUGAAAGUAUUGACAUGAAGUAUUAAAAGCAUCAUCUGAUAGAAAAAGAAGGUACUUGCCAAAUGUUAUAUCGGCCUUUAUAGAGCACUAGUAACAGACACUAUAAAGUCUUUUGUUUCCUAAUUUAUUAUUUUCCUAAUGGGCCACAUAGCAGACACUGAAGGUUCUACGUAACAAAGGUCCUACAAGUAAAUUGUGAAAAUCCCUUAUUGGAUGGUGUUUUUAGAAUACAGAAGGUCUUAUUUCCUUAAUGCAAGAUGCUUAGGGAAGUCACUCUCAAGUCACUAGAAAUCUAUUAAAGCACCACUUGCUGGAAAAUGGAAUGUGCUCUGGAAGUACAAUGGUGUUCUUGCUAGCGCCUUCCUAACCAUAACAAUAAUAAGAACACUGAUCAAAUAUUUACCAUGUUCCAGCCACUGUACUAAGUGCUUUGGGUACAUUACCUCAUUUAAUCUUCAUAUCAAGCCUAGAAGGUAGUUUCCAUUAUUUUUUCCACUUUACAGGGGAAUAACUUGAGGAUCAAUUUGCUGUAAGGAAGUUUAUUUAUCACAACAAGUAAAGAAAGUUUUCCAAGGUCAUACAGUCCUUACAUGGGGAAGCUAUACUCAAAGCUGAUGUUCAUCGCCACUACAGGCUAGUGCCUUCUCAGCAAGAACUACUCUUACAGUGCUAAGAGGAGAAAUGGGCAAGUUGGUAAGAGCCAGAAUAUCUGUUGUUGAUAUUACAGAUACAGCUCUGAACUUAAGACCCUAAAAAUGAUCUCCAACCUCAGUUGCCUCUGAGAGCCUUCAGCGUGAUAUGUGAUCAUGUGAGAGCCACGUUAUGUGUAUUCUUUUUACCACCUCUUCUGUAUCCAUCUGGAGAUAGUUCUCUUUUCUGUUUUUUCUAGAGGAAAAAAACAACGACAAAAAAACAGGGAGAUCUUAGCAGAACCAAAGCAGAUUAGAUAUUAGCCUUGAAAAUGGUGACAGCAAUCAGUGAUAUUGAACCUGAAAUAAUUUAAAUAAUUAUUGGGGACUUACCAGAGCUAAGUUCGUGGACCACUGGGAUUUCUCUUAUUUGGGUCUCAUAGUCUUCCAUAAAGUGAUGGGACUAUAAUUGUCCAUCUUCAAGUAUCCUUCUAUGACUCAUGUAUAAUCCCUUGACUCUUUUAGGAGAUUCCUGGCAGUUAAUGUCAAUACUGCCCUUCAUAAUGCUUCUGAGUUAGCUUAGGUAAGGUCCUUAAAUACCCAAUGACUUAUACUCUGAGGCUUCUAAACUGGUAUGUGGAACUCGGUGGUUGCAACUUCACCCAAAUCCUCAUUCUGUGUUGUGCUGUCCCUAAUUUAGAGGGCAAAAUAUUUCAAACUCAAUCAUUUCUUGUUAAAUUCAACUCUUGGAGCUCCACCUGUCAUAAACACAAUCCCAUUUCCCAUGUACUCAAUUACUUCUGUUUCUCGAAUCCAUCAUUCAUCCCAUAGAUAUUGAGUGCCUAAUGUAUUCCAGAUAUAGUUCUACAUAAUAGGGAUAGAGCAGUGUAUGAAACAAAGCACCUACCUUCAUAGGACUUAUUCUGAGGAGGUAGGAGGGGAGACAAAUGAUAUAAUAACUUAGACUAUAUCUGAGUAAUACAACAAAUAAGUCUUUAAAAACAGUGGCUUGAAUAAGAUACAAGUUUAUUUAUCUUUCAUGUAACAGUCCAGGGCUAAUAGAGCAGUUCUGCCAUCCUCAUCACAGGGCUUCUGCCUCUGGGUCCAAAGUAGUUGCCCCAAUUCCUGCCAUCACAUCUGCACCCCAGCCAGUGGAGAGGAUAAGAGGGCAAGGGUAACACAUACAUAUUCUUUUUUAGGGCACAAACUAGAAAUAAUACAUGCAACUUCCAUUCACAUCUCAUUGGCCCCAAACUUUGGACAAACCCAGAUGCAAGAGAAGCUGGUAAAUUAGCCUUUAAUUGAGAAGCCAAGCGCCCAGAAAGCAGGGAGUUAGAGUAUACAAGGAAAGAUCAUUUUUAUGGAUAUCAGUCUCAUUCAGAAAUAAACAAAUAAAUAAAUACAUUAGUAUUCAGAUGGUAUAUGGAGAAAAAUUAAGAAAAUUAUGAGAGGCCGGGCGCACUGGCUCACACCUAUAAUCCCAGCACUUUGGGAGGCCGAGGUGGGUGGACCAAAAGGUCAGGAGAUCGAGACCAUCCUAACACAGUGAAACCCCACCUCUACUAAAAAUACAAAAAAUUAGCUGGGUGUGGUGGCACUUGCCUGUAGUCCCAGCUACUCGGGAGGCUGAGGCAGGAGAAUCGCUUGAACCCAGGAGGCAAAGGAUGCAGUGAGCCGAGAUUGUGCCACUGCACUCCAGCCUAGGUGACAGAGCAAGACUCCAUCUCGAAAGAAAGAAAAAGAAAGAAAGAGAGAGAGAGAAAGAGAGAAAAGAAAGAAUAAUCACACCCCAAGAAAAUCAAGCUAGGACCAUGGUGAACAAUGCUCCAAGAGUGUUCUGAUGCUGUAAACUGAGUGUGAUGUGCAUAAAUUGUUUUGCACUCUGCAGGUAGGAGGGUGGGAUAGCCAAAGCUGUUCAAUAUAAUAAUAUUAAAAAAUAAAAUCUCAAUUGAAGUAAAAUACAAAUUUUCUUAAGCAAUAUUUUAAAGUAAAUGGAAAUGUUACAACCUGGAUGAGGGGUGAGGAAUUAAUAACCUCUAAUCACAGAAUAAAAAUGGAAUGAGAAUUCCAUCUACCCAAAUCAGACAAUUAAAAAGUCGAAAGAGGUUACAGUAAAAAUUGGGUAAAACUAAAACUUAAAAAAUAAUUUCAGAGGAUACAUGAUAUACUCGUCACACAGAAAACUCCAGUUGAAUCUUAUGGACUUGAGGAAUGGAUACCUUUGUUUCUCCAUCACUUAGCACAGUAGCUGGCACCAUGUAAGUUCUCACAGAAUUUUCCUGAACUCUCCAACCAGAGGCAACCUUUCACUCUCCAUUCACAUAACAUUUCCUUCUUUCUCUUCUUUUGGGAAUAACAUAUCUUGCUUGAAUUAUAUUUAUCUUUAUGCCAGUUUAAUUCUCUCUUUUAGAUUCAUUUACAUCUUUGUAUCCUCUAGCUCAUUAUUUUUUCAAAAUAAAAUGGAUUAACAAAAAAUUAUUAAAGAGAUAAACUAAAGGAAAAUAUUACAACCUGGCUGAGGGGCAAAAAUUAUAUGUUCAACAUAUAUUUGAUAACACAUACUGAGAAAACACGGUCUACUUUUACUUUUCAGAAGUUUGUUCAUGUUGACAUUGUGGGGCCUAGAAGAUUUUUAUCAAGUUUUCUAUUUUUGCCAAGUCAUAUGAUCUGCUAUAGUUCAGCUAUAGUUAACCAAAUGUAGAAAAGAAAAAAAUUUUCCAUAAUAUCUAGUAAUUCUCCAAAACAAGCUUGUUCCUUGUUAUAAACACUGACAUUCUUUGAUAACUCUCACUUUAUCCCACAGAGGUCAUGUACUUAUUUCCCAUCUGUUGUCCUAUGCUUACAUUCCAAAUUCAGUUGCAUUGACUUUUAGAACAGCUUUAGGAACUGCACCCAGUUUUAAAAUACAUUAUUUGUCUAAAAAUUAUGACAUGAGAUUAAACUGUCAUCUUUGUAGGUUUCUACACAUACUCCAACUCAUUCACCAAUCCUUGAAAAGAUUAUGUAACCAAUCUCAAUGCCCUGACCCAGGCCAAGCCCAUUUCUACAUGUGCAGUGUUCUCUGGAUCUGAUAUUUAAAGCCCCUUAUCCUGAUACUACACACCUUUUGUCUUCUGGAAUGCACCUCUCUUCUCAUCCUUUUUCAAGGCACUAGAAAAGCAGACCAUUUCUGCAGCACCUCAAACCAGGGUGAGAAAGCUCCACUCUAAUCUCAUCAUUUUAGCUACAUAGAUACAUUGGCUCAAGGGAAGAUACCAAGUGUAGUACUUUACCACUCUGAGGAUUUUUGAAUCUAUAACAGUUGUUUCAACUGGGCCAAUAAUUAUGAAGGGCAAUAAUUAAAAAGAGUAUCCAUAGUAAAGGAGUAAGAAAAAAAGUUAGAAAAAAAGUAGAGAAAAAUAUUUACUAGAGUAUUUACUAGAACCCACCACUCUCAGAUCAAUUUUCUAGUGUUCUGUUGACUGGCAACUAGUCAACAAACUUUCAUUGAGAAGCUAUUUUAUAGUAGGCAUUGGGAUAGCCUUUGUGGAAUAAAUACCGAGAAGCAUGUCUCUAGCAGAAGACAGACAAGAAAAUGUAAAAACAAGAAAAAGAAAUUGAGGAAUAAGCCUACAGUUUACAAAGCUACACAAUUAUUCGUUAUGCAAGGAAUGAGGCCUUAAGAGAAAGACUUCCCUGUGAACUACAAUGAGAUGAAAAAGCUUCUCAGAGUGAGAUUUGAGCAAGAGUUUAAAAGAACUGACAGACUGAUAAAAAGCUUCAAGUAGUCCAGAGGACUGAGUACUAAAACUCAGAACAAUGUAACAAAAGCACAGAAGACAAAGUUAAGAUGCUUUACAUGACAGUAGAACAUUUAGGCUAAGCUGGAGGACUGGGGAGAACAAGUGAAGAAGGUAAGUUUUGGCUAGAUAAUAGGUGGCCUUUAGUGUCAGGAUGAGGAUUUGGAAGUUAAUCUUUUGGUCAGUGGGUAAUAAAUGAUGGCAUUUGUGUAGUUGAGCCAGUUGACAAUGCUUUAACAACUUCAAAAGGCCCUGAAAAACAUGGUCCCUAAUCCUUAAGAAAAAAGGAACUCCUGACUUCAGGACCCUAAGCUAGGAGGAGAUUGGAUAAAUUCUCUUAUGGCCCAACUGUAUAGAAAAUAGACCACCUCGGCCGUCUCACUUACUGAGUAACCUUUCCUACCAGAGAAUGUGCUAUAUAUGAUUUCUUUACUUUCAACGGAAAUUUUGGAUUCUCAGUUAUCUUUCCCUGACCUCUUGUCUGGUGAUCAGAAAAAGAUGACUAAACUGGGAAUCUUUAUUUUCUAGUGGAAAAAUAAUCAUGUAUACCGCAUUUUAUAUCUUUUAAUUGGGUGUAAAUUUGAACUUCAACAUCAUAAAAAUUAGUAAAAUUCAUUUUAAGCACAAAGUUGUUAAUUCCCCCAAGAUUUAUCAAGAAUGGCUUAAUUUCAAAGGCUGUCAAGUUAAUUAUAAGCUAAGAUUUUCCAGUUGCACCAAGGGUAUAUUUUAUUUGGCAAAAGAAACAUCCACUGGCUUUUGUCAGGAUGAGUCUUGAGUUAUUCAAGUUUUGAACUUAGAGGUCUUCAGAAAUUCACCCCACAUAUUAACUGUGGCCUUCUCUACACCACAAAUUCCCCUCCACUCAUCCUCAAAUUGUUUCCUUUCUCAGAACAUCUGUGACACAAAGACUGUGACACACCCACAGGUCGAUUAACAUGAGGACCCAACACCUAUUAAAACAUCCACACUCCUGAGAACACUAAAAACCAACCACUUCGUCAGGUCCCACCUCCAGUCUCGCUGAAUCAGGAAACCUCAAGAGAAGCACCUGGAAGCAGGUUUAACAAGCGCAAGGCCGGGCGCGGUGGCUCACGCCUGUAAUCCCAGCACUUUGGGAGGCCGAGGCGGGCGGAUCACGAGGUCAGGAGGUCGAGACCAGCCUGGGC
rnacentral:lncRNA from 1 species